GCAACAGAGAUGCCGAGCAGACACACCACAGUGAUGGUCCCUAUGAUUCUGAUGUCGUUGGAGUCAUCUACCAUGAGGGAAUCACUCUCCUGAAAGGGAAUGGUUUAGUCUUCAUCUCUCCUGGGGCUAAAGAUGAUGAGCUCAUCAAAUCUCCAGAACAAGUGUGGAGAAUAGCCAAGAGGAAGAAAGGAUACAGAGCAGAGGAACUACAGCUACCAAAGGAAAUAUGCCUUUUAAAGUCGCAAGGAAAUGUUUCAUCUUCAGGCAUGAAGCAGCAAAACCAAAUCUUCUGUCAUUGAGGUCAGGAUUCUUCUCCUCCUUUGAUUCGUUACCCAUAUUAACACUGUCAAAAAGAAAGGCUCCUUAACAUCCUGCUGUGAAAUAAAAGGCCACUGGAAGUCCUCCUGAGGCCAGAAGAAACGAUCAGAGUCCUAAAGAAAAUAGGAAUGAGGAAAACAGCUUAAUACUGAGCUAAGAAAAACAGAGGUAUGAGCUGGGGGGCUGCACCUGGCUGCACCUGGGGGAACACCAUGAGUACUAAAUAUUGUGAGGCAGCUGGAAGGAAGAUGUCAAAAUUCUUAUUCUAGCAGAAUCACCAGCCCUACUCUGCCAGUGGUUGUUGUGGAUUGAAGAUCCCAGUUCCAGCUGUUUGGUGGUUUGGGCUGACAGGGUGUCAUUUUUUUUUCAGACCUAGUCUUUACUCUCAGGUUUCCAGAGAGACUUAAGAAUAUCAAGAAAGUAUCUAGGAUAAUCUUCCUGGUGUUCUGGAUUUCAGUCCUUUUCUCACAGAACCCCCUACAGGAUUUUCUUCUAAUGGCUCAGUACUCAGGAAAUGAGUAUCUUUACACGAUCUCAAGCUGGGAGCAUUCAUCCUCUUGGCAUGAGUAAGCCUCAGGUGCCUGAAAACACUUCCUGAAGGACAGUUUGUAACAAAAUAACAGUGGUCAUCUGUUCUCUUCUUGGAUGUCUACAGCCCAGCUGCUGGUUCAUGGAGCUGGUCAUUCUGAAAGUACUUUGAAUAGCUUCAGUCCUGAGCUUGUGCUUGAGUAACAGCAAACCUAACUUGAAAAGGGACAUAUCAAUAGGCAUUCUCUGGGAGAUUUGGAAGCACCUCAUUUGCCCUUAAUUUCUGUUCAGGGAAACAAAACUGUAUUCCAGAAAUGCUAUUACAGAAAUUGAUCAUAGAAGGUGGUAAGAUGAAAAGAUUGACAAUGGAGAAGUCCUAUAAAACAGUCUAGAAAUAGAAAUCAGCAUGAAUAUGGAAUUCUAUGAAAAGUCUGAGCUACCUGAGUUAACAACAUAUGGCCAGAAAUGCUGCAAAAGCAGCAGUGUGACCACACAGCCAACCUGUCAUACUCAUGUGCUCAGUGCAUGCCUAUAUUCUCUAAAUGGCUGGGGAGAACAUUGUCUCUUCAGGGAUAUUCAGGGAGGUGGAGGCAGGACAUGGAUGCUCAGCAAAUUGCUCACAGCCCUGCAAAGAGAGCCCCACACAGUGUUGUGCAGCACUAACUCAGGGUGCAAGCAACACUUUUCCACAU